ACUAUGCCUUCUUUCUUGAUGAUGCUCCUGGCACUGGCUGCCUCCUCUUCAAGUGUGUUCUCACAGGUGGUUCUGACCCAGACAUCAGAUCCAGUCUUGAAAAAACCUGGGGAAUCCCAUAAACUGAGCUGCACCACUGCUGGAUUUGAUAUUAACAGCUACUGGAUGGACUGGAUCAGACAGAAACCUGGCAAAGGGCUGGAAUGGCUUGUUCACUAUUACAAUAGUGGGAACAGUCAUUAUUCCUCUGCAAUCCAAGGGCGAUUUACAGCCUCGAAGAGUGGAUCAAACUUCUAUCUGCAAAUGAACAACCUUAAACCUGAGGAUACAGCUGUGUAUUACUGUGCAAGAGACACAGUGAGAGGCUUCCCAUUAGACCUUAGACAAAAACCCUUCAUUGCAUUCCUUCAGUAGAGUUUCCAGAGGGGGCACUAAAGCACCACAAACAAGAAACUCUCAGAGCAGAAAAAACAAGACCAUGGCCCAGGUUAGACAGGGGUCCAACAACAUCUGCAGGGCCCCUGGUUCUUUGUUCUUACCCCCAAGCAAAGCAAUGUCCUGAAAAGACCUUGUCUCUUCUCCACCACAGGUCAGCAGCUUCAUUCAACUGUAUCACUGUGCUUCGACAACAAGCAUUUGAAAGAGGGAAUAGGGUCAAAGUUGAAUCAAAUCAUAAACAAAUCAAGGAUUAGUGCUCAACAAUUGUUUCAGGUGCAUAGCUAGAUGCCUGGUGCUGCCCACUCUCCCCAAACUCAAUGGAAGGGAAAUUCAUAAACCUCUACUAAAUUUAAUUUCAUGUGAUUAGCAUAUUC